UACGGGGGGAGCAAGCGUUGUUCGGAUUUACUGGGCGUAAAGGGCGCGUAGGCGGCCAGCACAAGUCAGUUGUGAAAUCUCCGAGCUUAACUCGGAACGGUCAACUGAUACUGUGCGGCUAGAGUGUGGAAGGGGCAAUCGGAAUUCUUGGUGUAGCGGUGAAAUGCGUAGAUAUCAAGAGGAACACCUGAGGUGAAGACGGGUUGCUGGGCCAACACUGACGCUGAGGCGCGAAAGCCAGGGGAGCAAACGGG
rnacentral:rRNA from 1 species